rnacentral:tRNA from 1 species
GGAUGGGUGGCCGAGCGGUUGAAGGCAGCGGUCUUGAAAACCGCCAGGCGCGUGAGCGUCUCGUGGGUUCGAAUCCCACCCCAUCCGCCA